rnacentral:tRNA from 1 species
GCAUUAAUGGGGUAGUGGUAACCUGGGUCGUUGCCACUGUUGCAACACUCGACCCGCCGGGGGUUCGAUUCCCCCUUAAUGCA